ensembl:snRNA U6 U6 spliceosomal RNA
GUGUUCGUUUCAGCAGCACAUAUAUUAAAACUGGAAUGACAUAGGGAAGAUUAGCAUGGCCCUUGUGCAAAGAUGACAUGCAAAUUUGUGAAGUGUUCUAUAUUUUU